AUUGAACGCUGGCGGCGUGCUUAACACGUGCAAGUCGAUCGGUAACGCGGGGGCAACCCUGGCGACGAGAGGCGGACGGGUGAGGAACGCUUGGGAGUCUGCCCUUCAGCGGGGGACAACACGGGGAAACUCGUGCUAAUACCGCAUACGCUCCACGGAGGAAAGCCGGGGACCGCAAGGCCUGGCACUGAAGGAUGAGCCCAAGUCGGAUUAGCUAGUUGGCGGGGUAACGGCCCACCAAGGCGACGAUCCGUAGCUGGUCUGAGAGGACGAUCAGCCACACGGGGACUGAGACACGGCCCAGACUCCUACGGGAGGCAGCAGUGGGGAAUAUUGGACAAUGGGGGAAACCCUGAUCCAGCGACGCCGCGUGGGUGAAGAAGGCCUGCGGGUUGUAAAGCCCUUUCGGUAGGGACGAAAGCUCUCGACCUAACACGUCGGGAGGUUGACUUAACCUACAAAAGAAGCACCGGCUAACUCUGUGCCAGCCGCCGCGGUAAUAC
rnacentral:rRNA from 1 species